UGAAGAUACGGACUGUGGUACACAUUGCCAAUAUAUUAGGUGAUAUCAUGAUACUAUUAAGCGCUUUGAGUACGUGAAAAGCGCUAUAUAAAUUGAAUCUAUUAUUAUUAUUAACAGAUAUUCUAGUGAUUUUCAUCUAACAUGGUGUAUUUGGAUCAACUUUAUUUUACCAUUAGUAGAUUGUCUGUCUAUGAUGCGUUGAGUGGGUGUAGGCCUGUGGUACCUACGUGUGCGUGGGUCCAGUACCUAUUGGACAGGCGUCUAUGACGUCGGGGCCUUAGGUGUGAAUGUCUACCGAGGGACUGCUAUCAGGCAUAAAUAUACGGGGCCCCGUGAUACGGGAGCGUACGACCUCCGACCCUGACGUUAGACACGCUAUUCUAAGCAAGUAAAUGCGUCGUAGCAGUUGGAAGAAAAAAAAAAACAGCGAUCCGUCCUGCACAACUAUGCCGACUGACUGUAAGUAUUCAUAUGAGUGUAUCAUGAUUAUAUUAUGACUAUGUCUAUGUGAAUCAGCUGUUUAUAUCUGACCGUAGCUGCGAUUACUUCACAGCGAAUUGCGGUGCCGGAGGCGAGAGCGUGAAACAGCAGCAGGGUCCACGUGGAAAUUUGCCUGAUAUUCGGCUCAACAUUCAAAGACCGAUUCUAGCAGACCAGACUAAUGUGCUGACAAGCGGUAGUUUUGUACCUAUCGAGGCCAAUGUCAUUCAGCGAACCCCCGGACCAAAUCGACUGUCCAAGAAGAAUUUGAAAAGAUCGGCGGGGAUAGUGGUGGCUAUACCCUGUUCACCACUGGCCAUAGAACAGCUACAAAUUCCUUAUAAAAAGGCUCGCAAGGAUGCCACACAUAAUGGUUUAACUCCGGAGAAUAUUACCCAGGUUAUACAGGCAGUCAUAAAUCCGCAAAUUGCGCCACAUGGAGCGGCAUGGACUGAUCCCAAACACCGUGUGAUCGGGGACGUGGAGGUGUAUGUGCCUGAGUCGCCUACAGAGACCGUCACUGUGCAACCGGAUGGGACUAUACAGCACGCCCAUGGAGAUCCCCAGUGUGCGCCACCACCAGAGCUGACCGCCGACGAUUGGGCUGGUCUUGACGACAUCUCGUCCUGGACUUCAUCGUUGUUGGAACAUAUCGACUUCACUCCUGCGCAGUGGAUCGACUCUCCAGCUACAUCCGUAGAGGCUACCACCAGUGCAGAGCCUGUACAACACCAUUAUACACUCAGAGAGCCAAAGUGAUUAGCCCAAAAGACCAUGUCCUCACGUAUAAGUAGAAACCGUGAG